rnacentral:rRNA from 1 species
GAUGAACGCUAGCGGCAGGCCUAACACAUGCAAGUCGAGGGGCAUCGCGGUGCAGCAAUGCACUGGCGGCGACCGGCGUACGGGUGCGUAACGCGUAUGCAACCUGCCCCGCACCGGGGGAUAGCCCGCCGAAAGGCGGAUUAAUACCCCAUGGUCCCGGGGGCCCGCAUGGGCAUCCGGGUAAAGCCUUGGCGGUGCGGGAUGGGCAUGCGUGCCAUUAGCUGGCUGGUGGGGUAACGGCCCACCAGGGCAACGAUGGCUAGGGGGUCUGAGAGGAUGGUCCCCCACACUGGUACUGAGACACGGACCAGACUCCUACGGGAGGCAGCAGUGAGGAAUAUUGGUCAAUGGGCGGAAGCCUGAACCAGCCAUGCCGCGUGCAGGAAGGAGGCCCUACGGGUUGUAAACUGCUUUUACCCGGGAAGAAACCCGCCCCCUGUGGGGGGCGUUGCCGGUACCGGGGGAAAAAGGAUCGGCUAACUCCGUG